GAAUGUUGGAUAUGACCAUUUGAGUCUUUGUUUGAAUACCUGAACAUGUCUUUCCUACAGAGCUUCACAGCCAGAAGAAGGGGCUUGCAACACGGAAUAAAACUUUACCGAAGAGUAAGAUGAAAUAGUUUUGUAACGAUCAGAGCACUGACAAACCCUUUACACAACUUAUCAGCAUAUUGGAAUUGUAAAUUAUUCUCCUGUGUAUUCAUAGCAGUGAAUACAGCAUUAUUACAGUAGUAAUAAUUACCGUUAUUGAUUUUUAUAUUUGCGUCAUUUUAUAUUUGCCAGUGGAUAAGCAUAGAUGGUUUUGUUGUGAAAAACAUGUUUUUUAUAUUUUCAGAUUGCCCCUACCAUAUUGGGCGAGAUGCCUUUGAAAUAAGGGGUUACGUGAAGGAGAGGAUUAGAAAGGGCAUUAAAGAAGUCCUCGUCGAUUGGCAGCCUUGCCCAGUUUGUGGGAAGGAGUGGGCCAGGUCCUGGCAGCCAAAAGAUUUUAAUUAGUCCCCUGCCCUCUUCUUAAAAUAAAAACAUAUUUUCAGUCUUUCUAGAAUGUGGUGCUACUCCUGAUACAUGAUUGCCCUGCCAUUCAAAUGUGGUCAC